rnacentral:rRNA from 1 species
CUACGGGUGGCAGCAGUGGGGAAUAUUGCACAAUGGGCGCAAGCCUGAUGCAGCCAUGCCGCGUGUAUGAAGAAGGCCUUCGGGUUGUAAAGUACUUUCAGCGGGGAGGAAGGGAGUAAAGUUAAUACCUUUGCUCAUUGACGUUACCCGCAGAAGAAGCACCGGCUAACUCCGUGCCAGCAGCCGCGGUAAUACGGAGGGUGCAAGCGGUAAUCGGAAUUACUGGGCGUAAAGCGCACGCAGGCGGUUUGUUAAGUCAGAUGUGAAAUCCCCGGGCUCAACCUGGGAACUGCAUCUGAUACUGGCGAGCUUGAGUCUCGUAGAGGGGGGUAGAAUUCCAGGUGUAGCGGUGAAAUGCGUAGAGAUCUGGAGGAAUACCGGUGGCGAAGGCGGCCCCCUGGACGAAGACUGACGCUCAGGUGCGAAAGCGUGGGGAGCAAACAGGAUUAGAUACCCGCGUAGUC